UCAUGAGAAGAUAGGUAAAUUGAAUAACUUAGCUACUCCCUCCGUCACAGUUUAGAAGGCGUGGUUUUGUUUACAUGCAUUUCCAAAAUAAAAGAGGAUUAAGGCGUGUGACAUUUACUACUUAGUUCAUUAGGACUACUAGUAGGUUGCAUGCAUAGUGGGAAUGUUGGGUGUGCACACAGGAUGGAAAGGCUCCAUGCAUGAGGACUCCUCAUUUAGUGGUUGUGUGAGUUACUAUGCAUUAUCUUCUCAAAUAAUUAGGCAUCGUAGAGUUAUUGUGUGAGCGCUUGCAAACAAAAUAAGAGCCAAUCACGAUUCACCUUGGUCCCAG
rnacentral:lncRNA from 1 species